rnacentral:lncRNA from 1 species
UGGGAUAAACUAACCUAAAUAGUCAAGUGAAGGAGACCCACAUGCUCACUUCUCCUUCCCCGCCCCAUUUCUGGGACGGGCCUCGUUAUUAUUUGAGGAUACCCCUGCUCAAAUAAAAACUACAACCCCCGAAAGACUAAGAGCAAGAAUCUUAAACCCACAUAUCCUUUUUUACAUCAUAGCAUAGAAAGCAGUACCAUUGAUCCCAUAUUCAAUGAAAUUGGUGUGUAUAUCUACUACUAAUUCUUUGAACCUUGCCCCUCGUUCCCGCCACAACCACCAACAGCAAUCAAGCCAGCCAAGCCCAGGGAGUAGCUUCACCUUCUCCCCCUCACUGUUCCUACAGUCUUCCUAAUUCCCACCUCUUGAUUUUUUUGACUUUCUUUAAAAAAAGAUUGGAAGAAGAGAUGGCAUUGAUAAGAACCUUAUAGGGUUGGCUCCGGUGGGUCCCUAAUUCGACUUCUUUUACAUAUGAGUCAUAUGUUUUCAUCGAAAGAAGUUUCCCAUUACAGUAGACCAAAAAGCCCCUAAUCUCAUCCCUUUUGUUCCUUUGAGAAAGCUCAUCCCGGGAAUACCCGUCAGAGGGCAGAGCUUUCUCAAUGGCCUUUUCGAUUUUGACUUGUGCGUUUAGCACUUUGUCUUUCUGCUGAUCCGACAAG